UUGUUUGGAGAGUUUGAUCCUGGCUCAGGACGAACGCUGGCGGCGUGCUUAACACAUGCAAGUCGAACGGUAAGGCCCUUCGGGGUACACGAGUGGCGAACGGGUGAGUAACACGUGGGUGAUCUGCCCUGCACUUUGGGAUAAGCCUGGGAAACUGGGUCUAAUACCGGAUAGGACCACGGCCUUCAUGGGUUGUGGUGGAAAGCUUUUGCGGUGUGGGAUGGGCCCGCGGCCUAUCAGCUUGUUGGUGGGGUAAUGGCCUACCAAGGCGACGACGGGUAGCCGGCCUGAGAGGGUGUCCGGCCACACUGGGACUGACUGAGAUACGGCCCAGACUCCUACGGGAGGCAGCAGUGGGGAAUAUUGCACAAUGGGCGCAAGCCUGAUGCAGCGACGCCGCGUGAGGGAUGACGGCCUUCGGGUUGUAAACCUCUUUCANNNNNGACGAAGCGCAAGUGACGGUANNNNNAGAAGAAGCACCGGCCAACUACGUGCCAGCAGCCGCGGUAAUACGUAGGGUGCGAGCGUUGUCCGGAAUUACUGGGCGUAAAGAGCUCGUAGGUGGUUUGUCGCGUUGUUCGUGAAAACUCA
rnacentral:rRNA from 1 species